UCACCUUCCUGUUGUGCUGAAGACGUGAUGUGUGACUCCUUUCUGUAACAGUAUUCCAGAUACUAGCUAGUACCAGAGAAUGCUCUGCCAUUACUGUACUGUAGAACUACACAUGAGCAACCGACAGCGACGUUGAAGAGAACUGUUCAACAUCGAGUUUCAAGUUUCUGGGUGUCCACAUCUCUGAGGAGCUCUCCUGGUCUUCCUGAGGAGAGCCUGCAGAGGACCUUAACCACUGACUGGUUGCCACCGAAUCUUGGGAGGCAGUACAGGACUCUUUGCUCCUUCACGAACAGUCACAGACCACAGACCACACAAAAUUACACCCAAACCACAUCCUUAGUCACUUUUUAUUUACAUGUAAAUUAUAUUCAUAUUCUGCACUGCACAUGGUUGUGUACUUACAGUAUAUGUAUAUUGGUAUGCAAACUAGGGGUGGAACGGUACACUGAAGUCACGGUUCGGUUCAUACCGAAGGCCGACGGGUCCUCUAUCUCUCGUGGGUCGCCACCACUCGCCAUACUCGUCCUUAGUGCUGCUAGCUAGAGUAUCUCUGACUCGCAGCGGCGCCAAUUGGAGCUUCAGAGCUACAGAUUAGAUGUCCCUAAAGAACACGAGUAUCUUACAGUAGUUUUGCAUUACAUUAAUUACUUUGCACGCAAGUUUUAUUUAUUUUUAUACCAUGUACCGUACUCUCUGUGUAAUUUCAUGCACCAAACCGUGACGCCCGUACCGUACGGUUCGGUACGUAUACAUGUACCGUUCCACCCCUAAUGCAAACCAUAUGUAUAAUACUGCACAUACCGUAGCAUCUAUGCAAUUCUGGUCUGAUUUACUUAAUUAGUUAUUUAAUGUUUUGGUACUUUAUUAAUGGAGCAAGCUAUCAUAAUUACUCACUUGUUCAUAUACUCUCUCCUUCAGUCAAGUUGUAGAAACCUGAUGCCAUGGUUGUAGAAAGCAAGCCUAUGACAAAUGAUCUUGUAUUAGAAUUCACAAAAUUCACAUAUGUAAAAUUGGCUGCAAAUGAUCAUUUGUGUGGUUCAUGCUUUUACCUGGUCUCUGAGCAGUAAGGGGAGAGCACCAAGCUCCUUGAAAGAGAUGGUAUGGACAGGAAAGAACCCACUGGUCCAGAAUGUAAAACUGGAUGAUGUAAGCUAGCAGGGAAUGUUCAUGGCCAGGAGUCUGAAGUCCUAGAUGUGUCCACUGCCAGCUGUGACGCUUCAGUGGGGGGCUAUCAUAGAUCAUGUUGAAACCAUAUCUGCACAUACUUUCUUACGUGUUUGUUUAUGGACAGAACUUUGAGCUGCAAACUCUGCAUGAAAAUGUACUCAGCAAUUUCUAUAGUUGCUUUAUAUGAGGAUUCUGAUGUAUUCUUUGUCAAAAUGACAAUUGGCUUCAUUAAGAAAGAACUGAGAUUAUUUGAUGAAUUGUCUUAGUAAAUGCAACACAUUUGGAUCAUAUUAACACUUAACAAAAUAAUUAAAACACACAUUUGCAUUGUGUGUGAUUACACAGCGUUGGUCUGCUAUACAAAGAAUGCCUGCUAAAAAUUACACAUCACCUAUGAUUGUUUCUGUUCUUGUUGAUAGUAAAUAAAGAAAUAUAUUUCCAGUUCAGUGUCUCAUUUAUUAAAUCUACACAUUUUUCUGCAGAUGAGAACAUUGAUGGCUAUGACAUGCUGGGGCAGAGUUGGAAAUAGCAAUGGCAUUCAACCACAAUUCCAAAAAAGUUGGAACGUUGUGUAAAAUAAAGUAAACAGAAUACAAUGAUUAGCAAAUGUAAUAAACCUAUAUGUUAUUUACAGAACAUAGAAUGUUUAAACUGAUUACAUGUAUCAUUUUAAGUAAAUAAGGUAGUUUUGAAUGUGAUGGCAGCAACACGUACGCCUCAAAAAGUUUUGACAAAUUUACCACUGCAGCACAUGUGCAUCAUGACGC